AGAAGGGGAGCUAUUCAUGGGGGAAGCACAAGGAAAUUGCACUGACAUAAGCAAGUUUAGCGGAGUCCCUAUGAGUAGGAGUAUGAAGGUUCACGUGUACAUUGUUGGACUGCUGAACGUUUUUUGUGAAAUCUAGAUACCUUGAUGCAGUUUUAACUCAUCAAUUGGGGGGUUCGAGGCUCUCUUUUUAUAUACCGGAUUUGGGGAUUAAUGGGCGCUAAAACAUAAGAGCUCAGCACAAGAAGCAUAGUGGAGAGGACGCUGCACAAGUACUGGGCCUUGAGCCCAGAACAGUACUGUGGCGAUUCCAGAACUUGUCUUAUCACUAUAACCACUCGAUCUCUUGACUGGUGCUGUUGAACCUCAAGGUGUGUGCUCGAUCUCUUGACUGAUGUUGAACCUCAAGGUGUGUGCUGGAUAGCUCUCAUGCCUUUUGUGACUUGUGUCGAGGUCUUGGAUGCACAAGAAAAAUGGGAUCAAGGCGGGUUGUUGUCGAUCAUGAGUGCUGAACAGUAGACAAACCAUACUGAAUGAUCAUAGAGGCUGCAGAGAAUUGGUGCUCAAGGAUACAUGCUGAUGAUAGGCAUGAAUGACUUGUCAGCACCUUGGGAUCUAGGUAUCGUCUACCAAUUCAUGCCAAGGUUAGGCGAGUUCAAUGCCGAAGUAGGAGCUAUAAACUGUUGCAACCGGUGCACACCAUUGCUUGGGGACAAACAAUAUUUUUACCGGGGCGGUAGUGUAACACCCGACGUACUCCCUAGGCUGCACUUGGGUGGCUUUUUGACUCCGUGGUAUAAAAUAGACAACCCACGGUGAAAACCCUAGGCUCCGCGCCUCCACCCAUCCAAUCCCUCGCGUAGCCGCCUGUCCAAUCCUCUCACCCGCGGCCUCCCCAAUCACCUUCAUUCUAGCGCCGCCAUCACUGCUAAUAUCCUUCACCCCCACCACGCCCUCCCUUCCUGGCGUCUACGUAGCCCGCCGCCACGCACCGUGCCGUUGCCAGGAGGAGAGGAUGGAGGCUGACGGGAGGAGCGGAGCCCGUCUUCGUAUUUGAUGGACGGCUGGAGGCCAACGAACCCGCCACAAAAACCGCCCUGCCGGCGGCAUCUCAGGCCUCUGCCUCGGAUCUGAGGAGAAACGGCAUAGAGGCGAGGUCAUGGAGGAUGCGCGAUGGGCGGUGCUUGGCCGAAGCCCGGUGGGAGCUAGAGGUGCGUGGCGCAUGGUCGGCGAUGCCCUCGUCGCCGCCACUCCUAUGGUCCCUCUCGAACCGCCGCCGCGCGAAUCGUCGCCGGAAGGAGCGCAUCCUCGUCGCCGGCCACUCCUACGGCCCCUGUCGAACCGCCGUCGCGCCGUCUCGCCGCCGGCAUGAGCGCGGCAGUACUCAGUGGGAGCUGAAGAGGAUGCUGCUCGUGAAUGGAUGGUGCAGGCGAUUGGAUGGAGUGGGCGAGCUGGCCCAAGGCGCUGCAGAGGUUAGGUGCUUGAAAAGCUGCAGCAAGGGAAAAGAGUAAGGAUCGGACGGGGAUUGGGCAGAGACCAUAGGCAGUCAUGCAGAGCUGCUGUAUUCUUUUCUUUUUAACUUUCAUAUCGCUUGCUCUGUUGGAUCUUACAUGUCCUCUCUAUGCCAUGCUGAGCAGAUCCUGUAGAAGGAAGACCAGAUGAACGCAAAGGCGAACACUUCUGUGUGGUGGAUCUUCCUUUCUGAUAGUGCAACAAGUUGAACAUUAAAUCUCAUAGUUUUGUCACUUUAUUUAUCGCCAGCAGAUGCAGAAACUGGGCUGACAAGAUAAAAGUCCAUACCUUGCCCAACAAGAUGACUCUUCGAAGACUCUACAUCUAAAUAUAGAUUAAGGAUUGUAUAUGAGAGAGGCAUGUUAUGUUCUCCUACAUGUUGCUUGUGAGUUUCAGCUGUUGCAUGGGAUGAAUUUGCUCUGAUGGCAUAUGAGGAAGCAAUGAAGGAAUUGAGCUGACCCGAAGUACGUGCAUUGUAAAGGAUAAUUGAUCAUGACCACGGUUUGCUCUUGAGUUCCGAAGUUCAGUUUCUUCUUAAAAGAUGAAUGUGAAGUUUACCAGCUGUCAUUGGGUGUGCCAAUCAAAUGAUAUUUCCAAAGCUAUGCUAAAUCCAUUCAUGGUUGUCCAAUUUGUUCUUUGUAAUGCUAUGGGGUUUUAAUACUUGCUCUCAGCUGGGCCGUGUGGCAGAAACGGUGCAUAAUAUUCAGAAUAUAAGGUGUUCCUUGGUUUCUCGUGAAACAGAGGGCAACCAAGGGUGGUUCCACAUCCAUAGAUUUGACAAAAUUAGAAAGUUGGUGAGUCGUAUGAUAGGAAGCUUCCUGCACGGCUCGGAGAGCGCUGAAGACGAAUGAGAGGUUCACCACCACAUCAUUGCAGGAUUGGGUCAAUCUACCAUUGUCUGGAUCAACUUUGUCAUUAUCAAAUCGAGGAUUGAACUUUCUUAUUAUUUCCUGAGGUUUUGGGACAUGAUGAACACAGCUUACACAUGUAGUGCAUAUGUUGGUCGGAAUUUUGGAAGGCUCAGGGGCUGUCAGUUCUGCAUUUGUUCACAAUUGAAGUCCCUGUAGCUAAAACACGUACUGUUCGAGGGCCAAUGUUACCUAUUUAUCCUGGCAGGACAAUGGAUUUCUCCGAGAUAUCUUCAGUUUCAAGACUGAUACAUAGAAUGUGAGAAGAGGCAGUAUCUUGUGAUACCUCGCUCCCAUUGUCCUAGGCCCUAGGUGAGUUCUUACAACUAUUUAUUUCUUGAUCCUGGUCAAGGUUCAUCUUACUUUUAAUCAGGAUUCUGAUGUACUUGCAUUUUGUGGUGUUUAUCUUGAGACUAAGAUGGUUAUUCCAGAUUACUUGCACUGUUAAUUGUGCUUAAAUAUACCCUAAUGCAUUCCAAAUAGUUGAGGUGUUACUGGGAACACCGACUUUUACCAUUGGGCUUUAUUCAGCCACAUGUAUACAAUCAUUUGGAGGCAUUCUUUUGGUUUUCUCCUGUUCUGGUUACUCAGGAAUAUGUUUUGAUUUUCUUUAUUGUACUCAUGGUUAUCUUGCCUGCAGUGCCAAUGCAUAAGCUACUUGGUGCAGUACUUCCACAUUUAUAGGUGCCCUAUGGGGUGUUGGUGGCAGAGUAUUGAAUACACAAUUAGGUGUAAUACUCAGGAGUGGCGGCCACCGGACUUUGAGUAACAAUAGAUCGAUGUGGCAGACUUUGAGUGGUCAAUGCUACAAUUUCAAUGCUAUAAGUGCGUUGCAAAAAUUCAAUCCAUCCAUUGCUUGAAUAAUGAUGGCUCGUUGUUUUUAAUC